CAGGAGCGAGGCAUGGACAUAAUCCCAGUCAUCUUCACUAGCUGAGCUGCGGUGAUAUACGAGUCACUUAAUGCACACGACCAAGUGGAUGCAUGACGUGGAGACGCCAAGCAGAGAAACGGCUGCCAUUGAACGAAGAAGAAGAAAAAAAGACAUGAGAAAUAAACCAUCAGCUGUAGCCCCCCAUGAGGAAGAUGCUGUCAUUCAAAACAGCACAGCCCGGGCCGCUGCGACCCUCCAGGAUGGGCGUCUGCAGGAUGUUCCACUGGUCAGCUUUCGGGUCGUAACACUCCACCAACAUUACGUCUAGAUGGGAGAAACCUGUGAGAGAGGAAGAACAACAUCUUAAAGAAGGAUCUGAUGAGAAUACUUCCGUGCAGGGCCUCCGACGCCGGUUUGAUUAAAUCUACAAGCUUUUCCUCAAGUACCUGAACGUUGCCAGAAUCGGAAGGCAAGGCCUUUUAUUAAUAUAGCACAUUUCAUUUCGAGUAAAGUCAAUUUACUUUAGAUCAGUGUACAUUAAAAUGAAUGUACAGUUAAGAACACACAAUCCAACACCCCAUCCAAAGAUACACAAAGCAACACACUCAUGCAGCAACUAGCAAAGCCUGAGAAAACAAAGAAGAGAAAUAAAAGUGUGGAUACAGUUGUGACAGAUCUCAGGCGGACUCAUAGGUUUCCAUGAGCUACAUUUGAAACUGGCAGAUCAGAGCUUUUAUGCAUUGGUAAUGUGCAUUUAAUAGUCCUUUAAAUGAGUUAGUUUAACAGUGUAUUCCAAAAGAAAGACAUCAAUUACAGCUUUUUUCCUAAUUCCCAUUC